rnacentral:rRNA from 1 species
CCUACGGGGGGCUGCAGUGGGGAAUAUUGGACAAUGGGGGCAGCCCUGAUCCAGCCAUGCCGCGUGUGUGAAGAAGGCCCUCGGGUUGUAAAGCACUUUCAGUGAGGAAGAACGCCUGGUGGUUAAUACCCAUCAGGAAAGACAUCACUCACAGAAGAAGCACCGGCUAACUCCGUGCCAGCAGCCGCGGUAAUACGGAGGGUGCGAGCGUUAAUCGGAAUUACUGGGCGUAAAGCGCGCGUAGGUGGCUUGAUAAGCCGGUUGUGAAAGCCCCGGGCUCAACCUGGGAACGGCAUCCGGAACUGUCAAGCUAGAGUGCAGGAGAGGAAGGUAGAAUUCCCGGUGUAGCGGUGAAAUGCGUAGAGAUCGGGAGGAAUACCAGUGGCGAAGGCGGCCUUCUGGACUGACACUGACACUGAGGUGCGAAAGCGUGGGUAGCAAACAGGAUUAGAUACCCCAGUAGUC